AACGAACGCUGGCGGCAUGCCUAACACAUGCAAGUCGAACGAGACCUUCGGGUCUAGUGGCGCACGGGUGCGUAACGCGUGGGAACCUGCCCUUAGGUUCGGAAUAACUCCCCGAAAGGGGUGCUAAUACCGGAUAAUGUCUUCGGACCAAAGAUUUAUCGCCUUUGGAUGGGCCCGCGUUGGAUUAGCUAGUUGGUAGGGUAAAAGCCUACCAAGGCGACGAUCCAUAGCUGGUCUGAGAGGAUGAUCAGCCACACUGGGACUGAGACACGGCCCAGACUCCUACUGGAGGCAGCAGUGGGGAGUAUUGGAGAAAGGGCGAAGGCCGGAUCCAGCCAUGCCGCUGGAGUGAUGAAGGCCUUAGGGUAGUAAAGCUCUUUUACCCGGGAUGAGAAUGACGGUACCGGGAGAAUAAGCACCGGCUAACUCCGUG
rnacentral:rRNA from 1 species